CAAUCCCAUCAGCAACCAGACUCAACAUCUGGACAUCACUCACCUCUGUCACACAUGUGCAGAUCAAGGUCUACCUUUAUUGUACAUAGUGCUGAUUUCCGCUGGAUCUCUGUUGAUUGUAGUCGUGAUGUGCUGCCUCUGCAAGAAAUGUAGAAAAACGGGUCAAAAGAUUGAGACCUGGAAGGAUUCAGCUCUCUGUCAACAGAAAACACGAAAAAUAAAGAAGGAGGCUGUAUAUUCAAAUCUCCCCAAAAGACGAUGAUCAAAUACCUCUUUUUACACCUCUUUAGUUCACACACACACUGUGACACACACACACACACACACCCCUUGUAUAACAUUGUUGGGUUUGUUAUGUAUGAGAUGUUGUUGUUCAUGUAUCAUAGUUUACUUUUGUGGUUCACAAAUAGUACAGCAUCCAGAAACUCAACUAAAUGUUCUAUUUUUAACACAUGGAAAUGCACUAACUUUAUUAAAGGUGCAGUGUGUAAAUUUUAGAGGCAUCUAGCCACGAGGUUGCAAAUUGCAAUAUAGAGAAGCUACGGUGGACAACACAGGACAAAAAUGUUGUCAUCUGAGACAGCAGAGAGAAGUCAGUCAAGCAAAUGUACUCUGUAGAGCAGUUUGUCCAUUUAGGGCUGCUGUAGAAACAUUGCUGCGCAAAAUGGCGAUUUAAAAUG